rnacentral:rRNA from 1 species
UCAAAAACAUAACCUUUAGCCAAAACAGUAUUAAAGGCGAUGCCUGCCCAGUGAAACAUUUCAACGGCCGCGGUACCCUAACCGUGCAAAGGUAGCGUAAUCAUUUGUCUAUUAAUUGUAGACCAGUAUGAAAGGCCACAUGAGAGCCAAACUGUCUCUUGUAACCAAUCAAUUAAACUGAUCUUCUAGUACAAAAGCUAGAAUAAUAAUAUAAGACCAGAAGACCCUGUGAAGCUUAAACUAACCUACUAAACAAACUAGUAGCUACUUUCGGUUGGGGCGACCUUGGAACAAAACAAAACUUCCAAACACCAUGAGCCAUCCCUCAUAACUACCAGGCAAACAAGCCAACAUAUGACCCAGUAACACUGAUAACUGAACCAAGUUACUCCAGGGAUAACAGCGCUAUCUUCUUCAAGAGCCCUUAUCAAAAAGAAGGUUUACGACCUCGAUGUUGGAUCAGGACACCCCGGUGGUGCAGCCGCUACCAAAGGUUCGUUUGUUCAACGAUUAACAGUCCUACGUGAUCUGA